CCCUUAGAUGUUCUGGGCCGCACGCGCGCUACACUGAUGCAUUCAACGAGCCUAUCCUUGACCGACAGGUCCGGGUAAUCUUUGAAUCUGCAUCGUGACGGGGAUAGAUUAUUGCAAUUAUUAAUCUUCAACGAGAAAUGCCUAGUAGGCGCAAGUCAUCAGCUUGCGUCGAUUACGUCCCUGCCCUUUGUACACACCGCCCGUCGCUCCUACCGAUUGGGUGUGCUGGUGAAAUGUUCGGAUCGGCCGUUUGUCGCGGUUUCCGCGUCAUGUGGCUGAGAAGUUCAUUAAACCCUCCCACCUAGAGGAAGGAGAAGUCGUAACA
rnacentral:rRNA from 1 species